rnacentral:lncRNA from 1 species
CCUAUCUGUGGCACCAAUAUGAGGGACAUUGAGAAAAUGGAAUAUUUAAAGGGCCUGAUGUUUUGCUCAUACUGUCCUGAAGCAAGAAAUAUCUUCUGGCACCAUGACUUCCUGUACCAAAGAAGAAGCAAGUUCUUGAUACCAUACAAAGAAUGGAGCUCCUGAGUUAGAUAGUCUCCAUUUGGUUCCUGUUUAUGUGUAAGAAAUGAGCAGAGGGAAAAAGGAAUCAAUAGUUUGUUCCCUCUAUGGAUUUUCUGUGCACUUUCCAUAACUGGCUGGAUACUGCUGUACCCUGGUGUGACAUUCCUUUCCUUUCCACUGGGACUUUUAAAAACUAAAGGCAUCUAUCUGAAAAAGAAAAAAGUUAGGUUUUAUUCCUCUGAGAUCAUCAUCUCGCAAAAGAUUUAAAAAAAAAUAACAGAAUUAUAGAAUGUUAGAGCCAGAAGGGCUCUUAAAAUGUAAAACAUAAAAUGUGUGAAUGUAAAAUGUAGAACACAGAGUACCUUAACUAACUGGGAAAUUGAACAUUUAUGUUACAGGAGGAAGAGGACACAGGACAUGGAAUAUCAGAUCUGAAAGAAUCUUUAAAUUGUAUAAUCUACUAUAUACUUUUAGAGUUAUGAAGGAACUUUUGUAAUGGGCAUUUACUUAUUCAAAUUUGCCUCCAAAAAUCAAUAUGUAUUUUAUUGUCAUAGAGGUAUAUUGAGUUUUUUCAAAAUAAAAAUUAAUGUAAUUCAAUGAGAAAUUCA